GGUGAACGCUGGCGGCGUGCCUAAUACAUGCAAGUCGAGCGAACGGACGAGAAGCUUGCUUCUCUGAUGUUAGCGGCGGACGGGUGAGUAACACGUGGAUAACCUACCUAUAAGACUGGGAUAACUUCGGGAAACCGGAGCUAAUACCGGAUAAUAUUUUGAACCGCAUGGUUCAAAAGUGAAAGACGGUCUUGCUGUCACUUAUAGAUGGAUCCGCGCUGCAUUAGCUAGUUGGUAAGGUAACGGCUUACCAAGGCAACGAUGCAUAGCCGACCUGAGAGGGUGAUGGGCCACACUGGAACUGAGACACGGUCCAGACUCCUACGGGAGGCAGCAGUAGGGAAUCUUCCGCAAUGGGCGAAAGCCUGACGGAGCAACGCCGCGUGAGUGAUGAAGGUCUUCGGAUCGUAAAACUCUGUUAUUAGGGAAGAACAUAUGUGUAAGUAACUGUGCACAUCUUGACGGUACCUAAUCAGAAAGCCACGGCUAACUACGUG
rnacentral:rRNA from 1 species